rnacentral:rRNA from 1 species
CGGACUUGCGCUCCUUGGUAUUCCGAGGAGCAUGCCUGUUUGAGUGUCGUGAAACCCUCUCGACCNUCNUUCUUUGCUGAAGGAGGGUUGGAUUUGGACGCUUGCGGUGGGUUCCCAUCGCUCGUCUCUAAAUGCAUCAGCUGGUCCCAUAGAGUUGGUUUGACGAUGGUGUGAUAAUAUACACUUUUUGUUGACUGUGGCGCCGUCCUAGGCCGACUCUGAACCGGGCCGCUCAUAGCCGUCUUCGGACAAUGAUUUCAUGUCAUCUGACCUCAAAUCAGGUAGGACUACCCGCUGAACUUAAGCAUAUCAAUAAGCGGAGGAAAAGAAACUAACAAGGAUUCCCCUAGUAACGGCGAGUGAAGCGGGAAGAGCUCAAAUUUGUAAUCUGGCGGCCUGUGGCCGUCCGAGUUGUAGUCUGGAGAAGCGUUUUCUGCGUCGGACCGUGUACAAGUCCCUUGGAACAGGGCGUCACAGAGGGUGAGAAUCCCGUCUU